CGGCCGCCGAAAACGGGAGAGUUUCGGGCCCCGCCGCGGCCGGAAAACCGCCGACUGUUAGGUUCGUCGGUGGGGACAAUUCCGACUCGGUCGAAAUUAGGCGGUCUCGGGCGUCGUUAUCGGGAUGCUUCCCGUAGGCGGGGCGGAGGGCAGGUUCCGCCAAAUACGUACGUACGGACGGAACGAAGCGAACCGGUCCCGAUACGUCGGAUUUAGCCCACCAGCGGCGAUGCAAAAUUUGUUUCGGCGGCCGUUUGCGUUAGUAAAGGAUUAAACGGCUUGCACUAUUACACCGCGCAACGACUAGUUAUUAGCACGCACUAAUCGACUUUAGGCGAAAUUUAACGAUGUAUAAGUAUGGGAAAAGUAUAUAUCCGUUUAUUAAAGAAAAAUCCAGCUCGGCUUAGAGACGGAGCCACCUCUUGCCGGAAAAAAUUAUCGCUCGAAAUUAAACCGCCAAAUAAUAGUUUUAGGGAAAUACUGCUAGUCGCCCCGCCCACCGGUUCGGCUUGGGAAGCCGUCGGCCGUCGAAAGCGGGAUAAUUUCCGGUCCGCCGCUGCCGAGAAAGCGGCGAAUCCCAAAGAAGAGCGCCGGUAGGACCGAAAGUUAAGCCUCCGACGAAUUAUUUGGGACCGGAAUUCCCGUUACCGUUCACUCGAUGAGGAAAGUCGCCGUAUUACGAUAUCGUUCUUAGUAAAUUCUUACUUACUUAAAUUCAAUACGUUUAACCGUGUCGUUCGGUAAUUAAAGUGUCGAUUAAAUUAAAUCGAUUGUUUUUUUUAUAUAGAAGAAUGCUAAUUACGCGUUUUCUGUUUCUAGCCAAAGACCAUACCGGAAGUCGUAUAUGCUCGACCAGAAAUGUCGUCGGAUCCGAA
rnacentral:lncRNA from 1 species